AAAAAUAUCCUAAUUUAUUGUAUGGAUUAGUUUUAUUUUGUGACAUAUUAACUCACAAUUUUUAUCAUUCUCAAUCUGAUCAAGACCAAAUAGAAAUUGGUUGAUGACUGAUAUAUAUAGAUGAGUGGGCAACAAUUAUAUUCUAGCUCAUCAUUUAUCGUUUAGUUCAAAUUCAAAUUGAACUACGAUGUAAGUUAAGCAAAUGAUCAAACAUUGAACUUGUCGACCAAUACCCUAUCUAAAUUCUGAACCAUGGGAUUGGUCCGCUGGCGGCGCAGCUGGAGAUUAUGAGGGCAGCCGAGAAAGAUGACCAGUACAAGAGUCGUUGUAGCUUACCAGAAUGAGUAAUCUGGUGUUGUACGGGUGGGAGAAUGCAAGUACUCGAUUAUUGGUACUGAUGGGAGAGUGCAAUUCUCUCAAAAAAUUUAAGGAUGACAAUAGGGUGGGGUGGGUUGAGCUUAAUCCGCAAAAAUUUUAAUCCACAUCACACAUUCCUGCAAUAUAAUGAGAAGCCUGAAUGUCCCCUUUGUAACACAUUCAAGCUUAGUCUGUCUAUAUCAUUCAGAUUUUUAGUCACGGAUAGGUCAGGUGUUUCAAAAAGAUGACUGCAUAUAAAUCAUGGACAGGUCUAUUCCAUAUGUAUCAGAAAAGAUUCACUCGUUCAGUAUUGUACUUCAUGACCUGAAAUGUGAGAUCCAGGGGCGUAGCUAUGUUAUAGCAAGGGUGUCCAAUUCAUCGAAAAAUAAUAGCAUAUAUAUAAGCAAAAUGAUAUACAAAGUGAUUAAAUAACAUAUUCUGAACACCCUUAGCUUGACAUAAUAAGGUGUUGUAGCCCAGUGAUUUUAGCCGCCUUGGAAGUGCUGUUGGGGUAAAGGGUGGUUGUGAUCUGUGGAAGGAAGGUUAACUUUGGCGCCACACAUAGUGGUGUAGCAGAUCAUUUUAUCGUAAGCAAGCACAUAACAACUUUACUUGAUUUACACGACAGCCUACUUGUCUUGCACUGAACAACUACCAUUAGAUUUUCCUUCACAAGAAGGUGGCAGAGCUGUUCUGGAUAUUAGUAUCAAUUUUACAUGUGCUUUGGGAAUGGAUUAAUCACUGUUGAGGUAUGACCGCUAUUUGUGAUGUAAUUCAAGAACUUGCACCAAAUUCAGUAUAUGAUUGUGAUA